ACCUGGUUGAUCCUGCCAGUAGUCAUAUGCUUGUCUCAAAGAUUAAGCCAUGCAUGUCUCAGUAUAAGCUUCUAUACGGUGAAACUGCGAAUGGCUCAUUAAAACAGUUACAGUUUAUUUGAUGGUCAUUCCUUACAUGGAUAACUGUGGUAAUUCUAGAGCUAAUACAUGCUGAAAAUCCCGACUUCGGAAGGGAUGUGUUUAUUAGAUAAAAAACCAAUGCCCUUCGGGGCUUUUUGGUGAUUCAUGAUAACUUUACGGAUCGCAUAGCCUUGCGCUGGCGACGGUUCAUUCAAAUUUCUGCCCUAUCAACUUUCGAUGGUAGGAUAGUGGCCUACUAUGGUGGUGACGGGUGACGGAGAAUUAGGGUUCGAUUCCGGAGA
rnacentral:rRNA from 1 species